AGCACGUAGGUGGGUUUGUAAGUCAGAUGUGAAAGCCUUCUGUUCAACGGGAGAAUUGCAUCUGAAACUACAGACCUUGAGUAUAGGAGGGGAGAAUGGAACUUCUGGUGGAGCGGUGAAAUGCGUAGAUAUCAGAAGGAACGCCGGCGGCGAAAGCGAUUCUCUGGCCUAUUACUGACACUCAGUGUGCGAAAGCUAGGGGAGCAAACGGGAUUAGAUACCCCGGUAGUCCUAGCCGUAAACGAUGGGCACUAAGUAGAGGGGUUUU
rnacentral:rRNA from 1 species